rnacentral:rRNA from 1 species
UGGGGAAUAUUGCACAAUGGGCGAAAGCCUGAUGCAGCGACGCCGCGUGAGGGAUGACGGCCUUCGGGUUGUAAACCUCUUUCAGUAGGGACGAAGCGCAAGUGACGGUACCUGCAGAAGAAGCACCGGCUAACUACGUGCCAGCAGCCGCGGUAAUACGUAGGGUGCGAGCGUUGUCCGGAAUUACUGGGCGUAAGGAGCUCGUAGGCGGUUUGUCACGUCGUCUGUGAAAUCCUAGGGCUUAACCCUGGACGUGCAGGCGAUACGGGCUGACUUGAGUACUACAGGGGAGACUGGAAUUUCUGGUGUAGCGGUGGAAUGCACAGAUAUCAGGAAGAACACCGAUGGCGAAGGCAGGUCUCUGGGUAGUAACUGACGCUGAGGAGCGAAAGCAUGGGUAGCGAACAGG